rnacentral:rRNA from 1 species
UAGGGAAUCUUCGGCAAUGGACGAAAGUCUGACCGAGCAACGCCGCGUGAGUGAAGAAGGUUUUCGGAUCGUAAAACUCUGUUGUUAGAGAAGAACAAGGACGUUAGUAACUGAACGUCCCCUGACGGUAUCCAACCAGAAAGCCACGGCUAACUACGUGCCAGCAGCCGCGGUAAUACGUAGGUGGCAAGCGUUGUCCGGAUUUAUUGGGCGUAAAGCGAGCGCAGGCGGUUUCUUAAGUCUGAUGUGAAAGCCCCCGGAUCAACCGGGGAGGGUCAUUGGAAACUGGGAGACUUGAGUGCAGAAGAGGAGAGUGGAAUUCCAUGUGUAGCGGUGAAAUGCGUAGAUAUAUGGAGGAACACAAGUGGCGAAGGCGGCUCUCUGGUCUGUAACUGACGCUGAGGCUCGAAAGCGUGGGGAGCAAACAGG